rnacentral:SRP_RNA from 1 species
CUCCGGAGGGAGUUGCGACCUGUUGCUGCGGACACCGGUCCAGGCCCGGAAGGGAGCAGACUUACUGUAGACGUUUGGCGCCCGCGGGAGUGCG